rnacentral:rRNA from 1 species
AUUGAACGCUGGCGGCAUGCUUUACACAUGCAAGUCGAACGGUAACAGGCCGCAAGGUGCUGACGAGUGGCGAACGGGUGAGUAAUGCAUCGGAACGUGCCCAGUCGUGGGGGAUAACGCAGCGAAAGCUGUGCUAAUACCGCAUACGAUCUAUGGAUGAAAGCGGGGGACCGUAAGGCCUCGCGCGAUUGGAGCGGCCGAUGUCAGAUUAGGUAGUUGGUGGGGUAAAGGCCUACCAAGCCGACGAUCUGUAGCUGGUCUGAGAGGACGACCAGCCACACUGGGACUGAGACACGGCCCAGACUCCUACGGGAGGCAGCAGUGGGGAAUUUUGGACAAUGGGCGCAAGCCUGAUCCAGCAAUGCCGCGUGUCUGAAGAAGGCCUUCGGGUUGUAAAGGACUUUUGUCGGGGAGGAAACCCCCAGCGUUAAUACCGCUGGGGGAUGACAGUACCUGAAGAAUAAGCACCGGCUAACUACGUGCCAGCAGCCGCGGUAAAAC